CCUACGGGUGGCUGCAGUGAGGAAUAUUGGUCAAUGGGCGGGAGCCUGAACCAGCCAAGCCGCGUGAGGGAAGAAGGUACAGCGUAUCGUAAACCUCUUUUGUCAGGGAACAAAGGCGGGGACUAGUCCCCGGAUGAGGGUACCUGAAGAAAAAGCAUCGGCUAACUCCGUGCCAGCAGCCGCGGUAAUACGGAGGAUGCGAGCGUUAUCCGGAUUUAUUGGGUGUAAAGGGCGUGUAGGCGGGAAAGCAAGUCAGAUGUGAAAACUCAGGGCUCAACCCUGAGCCUGCAUUUGAAACUGUUUUUCUUGAGUGCUGGAGAGGCAAUCGGAAUUCCGUGUGUAGCGGUGAAAUGCGUAGAUAUACGGAGGAACACCAGUGGCGAAGGCGGAUUGCUGGACAGUAACUGACGCUGAGGCGCGAAAGCGUGGGGAGCAAACAGGAUUAGAUACCCGAGUAGUC
rnacentral:rRNA from 1 species